CAGCUCUGAAAUAUGGCCAAACUGGUGGCAAGUGGCAUCGUGGCAGCUGCACGCUUGACUUUUCUCAGUUCAUGGGCAGUUAUUUUGCGCCUUGGUUUUUCCACACGCUUCUUGCGACCCUGUUGACUAUUUUGAAUGAAACGCUUGAUUGUUCGAUGAUCACGCUUCAGAAGCUUUGCAAUUUUAAGAGUGCUGCAUCCCUCUGCAAGAUAUCUCACUAUUUUUGACUUUUCUGAGCC